UUUCCUCUGGCUUCACCCUAUUCAGGCAUAGUUCACCAUCUUUCGGGUCCCAACAGAUGCGCUCUUACUCAAACCUUUCUAAGAGUAGAAUAGGUCGGUCAAUGAUGCGCCUUCUUUUUUUGGAAAAAGGCUCUCACCUCAGCGACCGAAGUCGCCUUCACUUUCAUUACGCCUCGGAGUUUCGGUCACUCAAAGACUCGCACACAUGUUAGACUCCUUGGUCCGUGUUUCAAGACGGGUCGGAUGAGGCCAUAUGACCGCCAACGUCGUGGGUGCAUAGUACGAAAUCACCGCCCUCGCGACCGGCAGCAGUCGCGGCGCACUGCACGCAGUCCACCGCAUUCGACGACCGACCGGGAAGACGGGACCCUAGCCGAACGGCAUGCACCGCAAGCUCCUCGGUCAGGUCCGGGCCAUGACAAACGGAGGACUGUAACAGUUCGGGCCCGAGAGUCCAAACCUACCUUUCCACCGCCUUUGAGACCCAGCCCUAACCGACGUUGGCGCGCGCCUGCGAGAAGUGCGACGGUCGGGAAACCAACCCGAACGGCAGCGGUCCAUUCAGAUCCGCCAACCGCCCGCCUGGCCCACCCACCGGCUGAAUCUCGCACGACGCAUUGCUAACCCCAUUCGUUUCCCUUUUAACGGUUUCACGUACUUUUUAACUCUCUUUUCAAAGUGCUUUUCAUCUUUCCCUCACGGUACUUGUUCGCUAUCGGUCUCGUGCCAAUAUUUAGCUUUAGAUGGAGUUUACCACCCAUUUUGGGCUGCAUUCCCAAACAACCCGACUCGUCGAAAGCACAUCGUGAACGGCCGAGAUCGCCGCAGACGGGGUUGUCACCCUCUACGACGUGCUGUUCCAAGCAACUUGGACGACCUCGGAUCCGCCGAGAAAGUGCUUCUCGAAACUACAAUUCGCCGUUGCAAGCAACGGAGAUUUUCAAUUUGAGCUGUUCCCGCUUCAUUCGCCAUUACUAGGGGAAUCCUUGUUAGUUUCUUUUCCUCCGCUUAUUAAUAUGCUUAAAUUCAGCGGGUUGCCUUGCCUGAUCUGAGGUCAACCCUGUGGUGCUU